rnacentral:rRNA from 1 species
GACGAACGCUGGCGGCGUGCUUAACACAUGCAAGUCGAACGCUGAAGCUCAGCUUGCUGGGUGGAUGAGUGGCGAACGGGUGAGUAACACGUGAGUAACCUGCCCUCUUCUUUGGGAUAACGCCCGGAAACGGGUGCUAAUACUGGAUAUUCACUGAUUCUCGCAUGGGGGUUGGUGGAAAGGUUUUUUCUGGUGGGGGGUGGGCUCGCGGCCUAUCAGCUUGUUGGUGGGGUGAUGGCCUACCAAGGCUUUGACGGGUAGCCGGCGUGAGAGGGUGACCGUGCACAUUGGGACUGAGAUACGGCCCAGACUCCUACGGGAGGCAGCAGUGGGGAAGAUUGCGCAAUGGGCGAAAGCCUGAUGCAGCGACGCCGCGUGAGGGAUGGAGGCCUGCGGGUUGUAAACCUCUUUCGCUCAUGGUCAAGCCGCAGCUUUGGGUUGUGGUGAGGGUAGUGGGUAAAGAAGCGCCGGCUAACUACGUG